UGGGGAAUAUUGCACAAUGGGCGCAAGCCUGAUGCAGCGACGCCGCGUGAGGGAUGACGGCCUUCGGGUUGUAAACCUUUGUUAGCAGGGAAGAAGAGAAAUUGACGGUACCUGCAGAGAAAGCGCCGGCUAACUACGUGCCAGCAGCCGCGGUAAUACGUAGGGGGCGAGCGUUGUCCGGAAUUAUUGGGCGUAAAGAGCUUGUAGGCGGUUUGUUGCGUUCGGUGGGAAAAUCCGGGGGUUAACCCCGGGUAUUGCAGUGGGUACGGGCAGACUAGAGUGCAGUAGGGGAGACUGGAAUUCCUGGUGUAGCGGUGGAAUGCGCAGAUAUCAGGAGGAACACCGAUGGCGAAG
rnacentral:rRNA from 1 species